rnacentral:rRNA from 1 species
AGUCGAACGGAUCCUUCGGGAUUAGUGGCAGACGGGUGAGUAACGCGUGGGAAGCUACCUUGNGGUAGGGGACAACNGUUUGAAAAGACUGCUAAUACCCUAUGAGCCCUAUGGGGGAAAGAUUUAUCGCCAUGAGAUGUGCCCGCGUUAGAUUAGCUAGUUGGNAAGGNAAUGGCUUACCAAGGCGACNAUCUAUAGCUGGUCUGAAAGGAUGAUCAGCCACACUGGGACUGAAACACGGCCCANACUCCUACGGGAGGCAGCAGUGGGGAAUAUUGGACAAUGGGGGCAACCCUGAUCCAGCCAUGCCGCGUGUGUGAUGACGGCCUUANGGUUGUAAAGCACUUUCAGCAGUGAAGAUAAUGACAUUAACUGCAGAAGAAGCCCCGGCUAACUUCCUGCCNGCAGCCGCGGUAAUACNAAGGGGGCUAGCGUUGUUCGGAAUCACUGGGCGUAAAGAGUACGUANGCGGACUGAUAANUUAGGGGUGAAAUCCCAAGGNUCAACCUUGGAACUGCCUUUGAUACUGUCAGUCUUGANAUCCAGAGAGGUGANUGGAACUCCCANUGUAGAGGUGAAAUUCNUAAAUAUUCNGAAGAACACCAGUGGCGAAGGCGGCUCACUGGCUCNAUACUGACGCUGAAGUACGAAAGCGUGGGGAGCAAACANGAUUAAAUACCCUGGUAGUCCACGCCGUAAACGAUGAAUGCUAGUUGUCAGGUAGCUUGCUAUUUGGUGACGCAGCUAACGCAUUAAGCAUUCCCGCCUGGGGAGUACGGUCGCAAGAUUAAAACUCAAAGGAAUUGACGGGGGCCC